rnacentral:rRNA from 1 species
UACGGAGGGUGCAAGCGUUGUUCGGAAUCAUUGGGCGUAAAGCGCGUGUAGGCGGCUUGGCAAGUCGGUUGUGAAAGCCCGGGGCCCAACCCCGGAACUGCAUCUGAAACUGCCUGGCUAGAGUCCCGGAGAGGAAGGCAGAAUUCCCGGUGUAGGGGUGAAAUGCGCAGAUAUCAGGAAGAACACCCGUGGCGAAGGCGGCUCUCUGGGACGGUACUGACGCUGAGACGCGAAAGCGUGGGGAGCGAACAGG